UCCCCGCUGGGACGUGCCUGUAUCCCCGCCAGCGACGCAUCCCGGACCGCGGUCAGCUCCCGGAGCCCGGCUGCUCUAAGGAUGGAGAAGAGGGCUCGGAGCUCCUCCAGAGAGGCCCAUCGGAGAGGCGGCGGGUCCCCGCACAAGGAGAACAAGAAGCCGAACGCCCAGAAGGGCGGCAGAGGCCGCGGGCGCCGGGAGCAGCCGGCCGUCGGGCGCGCAGAGAGCCCAGCGGAGCCCCGACCGCCGGCAGCCACCGUGGUGGACGUGGAUGAAGUCCGGGGCUCUGGCGAGGAGGGCACCGAAGUGGUGGCGCUGCUGGAGAGUGAGCGGCCAGAGGAAGGUACCAAAUCUUCCAGUUUGGGGGCCUGUGAGUGGCUUCUUGUCCUCACAUCCCUGCUCUUCAUCAUCGUGACGUUCCCUUUUUCCAUCUGGUUCUGCAUAAAGGUUGUACAGGAGUAUGAGAGAGUAAUUAUAUUCCGACUGGGACAUCUGCUUCCUGGAAGAGCCAAAGGCCCUGGCCUUUUCUUCUUUUUGCCCUGCUUGGAUACCUACCACAAGGUUGACCUUCGUCUCCAAACCUUGGAGAUACCCUUUCACGAGGUUGUCACCAAAGAUAUGUUUGUAAUGGAGAUAGAUGCCAUCUGCUACUACCGAAUGGAAAAUGCCUCUCUUCUCCUAAGCAGUCUUGCUCAUGUGUCCAAAGCAGUCCAGUUCCUUGUGCAGACCACCAUGAAGCGUCUCCUAGCACAUCGAUCCCUCACUGAAAUUCUCCUGGAGAGGAAGAGCAUUGCUCAAGAUGUAAAGGUUGCCCUGGAUGCAGUGACCUGUAUUUGGGGAAUCAAAGUGGAGAGAACAGAAAUUAAGGACGUGAGGCUGCCGGCCGGGCUGCAGCACUCGCUGGCGGUGGAAGCCGAAGCACAGAGACAGCCAGAGUGCGGGUGAAGGACACCCAGAUCUGUAUCCCUAGCUCUGCACCAGCUCUGGAGGGAUGGCCAUGACCAGAGCCCAAUCCCCUCAACGCCAGAGCCGAGAGAAGGCUGUGCUGCUCGGAGCCACUGCUCUGGCGUGCCAAUGAUUGCUGCGGAGGGGGAAAAGGCUGCAUCCGAGUCCCUGAGGAUGGCAGCCGAGAUUCUAUCAGGCACUCCAGCCGCUGUUCAGCUUCGAUACCUCCACACCCUUCAGUCCUUGUCCACAGAGAAACCUUCCACCGUGGUUUUACCUUUGCCGUUUGACUUGCUAAAUGUCCUGUCUUCUCCAAGCAAUAGAACUCAAGGAAGCAUCCCCUUCCCAAAUCCUUCCAAACAUGUUGAGCCACUGAAUCCUAAAAAGAAAGACUCUCCCAUGUUAUAGGAGAAGGAAAAAAGAUAAUGUGACUGCAAAGAGGGCUGCCAUAUAAUUGCCACAUCCCUGCGCGAGGCCCCCUGUCCUCACUUCCUGCCCUUUCUUUGGUUGCCAUGUGGAAUGUCCUUGGAAUGCACAAAGUCACCAUGCAACAACAUACAUGAAAGACAGUGAAAUCAUGUCAUGACAGAGAAGCCACAUGACAUGUGUAGCUGGAUCAUCUAAUCUGAGUAAUUGGGGAAAGAGCCUUAGCCUGCAUUCUACUUUGGAAAGAAUUUUGAAUCUAUAUAUGGCUAAAUUUUGACUUCUGAAGAUGUAGUUCAAAUGUCCUUUUCAACCUCUGGCCCCUCUGGGAAGGUUUCUGCUGCUCCCACAGCCCUUUCCACGUGCCCCUAUCAUGCGCUUAUCAAACACCAUUGUAAUCUUGUACGUAAGGUGCAGCCUUUCUCCAGCUACACUGCAAACUCAAAGGCACCCCCACCACACUCAAUCCUGUACACUCCACCCCAAGUUAUGUGCACUUAUCCUGAGAGUUGCACCACAGUGACACUUAAAUGUUUCAGUGUUUCUGAGUGAAUGAAAGAAAAAGGAGAUGUACUUGGGCUAGAUAUAAAAUGUAUACCUAUUAAAGAAUUGAAAAGGAA